GGUGGGUUGGCUGUCUGGUUAGAGCGUAGGUCUUGUACCCGAAAGGUCGCGGGAUCGAAUCCCGAAUUUCUGG
rnacentral:tRNA from 1 species